UAAUAGUGUAUAUUAAAGUUGUUGCAGUUAAAAAGCUCGUAGUUGAAUGUUGGUGUCGAACGAGCGGUCAGCUUCGGCUGUACUGCUCUCUCGACUCCUUCCUUCUGUGGACUACGUCGCACUUUACUGUGUGGCGCUAGGACGCAGAUCGUUUACUGUGAAAAAAUUAGAGUGUUCAAAGCAGGCCGUACGCUUGAAUACAUUAGCAUGGAAUAAUGGAAUAGGACGUCGGGCCUAUUUUGUUGGUUCUAGGACCGUCGUAAUGAUUAAUAGGGGCAGUUGGGGCCGUUUAUAUUCCGUAGUCAGAGGUGAAAUUCUUGGAUUUACGGAAGAUAAACUACUGCGAAAGCAUUCGGCAAGGAUGUUUUCGUUA
rnacentral:rRNA from 1 species